rnacentral:lncRNA from 1 species
AAAGGCUGAAGGAAGAGAAAAAAAGGUUUGACCUUUUGUCCAGAACUUCCAAAAAUGUGGUGGAUUCAUUCUUCCUGGCGGUUUUGUUUGUCCUUCUGAAUAUUACUGGGGUUUGGACAGUGGAGGAGAAUUCGAUAGUUUGGGUAGCUGAUGAAAGGCAACUGGAUGUGCAAAAACAAAUCUAAAUCUCCACUACUAUCUGGCAGCAACUGAAAGUGUUUCUUAUCUGAAAUGAACUGGGGAUCUCAAUGCAGUCCCAGCUCCCUGCAUCGCACAGCUAAUGGGCUUCUCGGUGAAAUGUUUAAGUCCCUCAUCUUCCUCUUUCAGGCUCUCGAGAGUGCCUUGUCUCCUCUCGCUGUAUUCUUACUUUCCUAUCACCCUCCCACCUCGCCACCUGCGCAGCGUCCGUUUUGCUUCCCAGGAUGAGGCAAUCCCAACGACCUGACUUCAGAUCCGCUGUCAAAGCAAGGAAGGAGGAAACUGUGAGUGAGCAAGUCCGCCUGCGUCCUCCUCCGCAACGCCUGCGCCGAGCUGCCCCGGGUCUCUGCGUGUCUCUGCAGGAACGGAGCCGUUGCUGACUCCAGACAAAGCUUGGAAUAGCUCUUCCCAAUGCAGUGAAGUUGAGAGAGGAAGCGAUUAUUCAUUUCCAGGAACAUUUGAACUAGAGCAAGCUCCUGGAAGUCUUUUUAGUGCUUGAUGUCAAUGUGUUUCCUCAGAAUGGUGACUUCUGCAUCCAAAGGGCAGCUUCGAAGGAGCCCAUUGCCCCUCCUGAGCCUCCUUUCUCCCUGUUGCCACUUUUCCAAGUUGGCAGAACUUCUGCUGCACAGGGCUGGGACAUGUUUGGGUUUGGACAGCAGAAGAACUGACCUCAGCACUGAAACUUCUGAAUUUGCAGGGAGGGCUCUGCCUUCUCUGUGUUCUCUGAAGUUCUCUUAAUUUAUGAUGCUCCAGGAAAAUGUUACUGUCAAUA